CCUUCCUGCCCAUGUCGCCUGUUUACUGAUGUGUGAGUCACAGGUUGUGGACCCAGUGUCCUCAACCAGGAGCAUCUAGGCAUGGUUCAGCUGGACAGCAGCUGGGAGCUCCAGCUCCCCAAGGGCAGGGCUGACUCCUGAUUGGCACUGGCAGGUCUAGGGAUGCUCCACAGGGCAGUGCCAUCACCGUUAGUAGGAGGCACCUCAUUUUUAUCCUGGAUCUGGGAAGAACAUGCUCCGGGUGGUGAAGCCUUAGGGCCGAGAGAACAAUCUGGAAGGAGGAAAUUCACUCGCGUGACUGGUGCCCGAGGAGGACUGGAGAGAACGUCUGGUCUUCUGAGCCUGGAAUGAGAGGGGGUUGUGAGCUGCUAUGUGGGUGCAGAGACUUCUGGAAGAGCACCAAGCAUUCUCAACUGUAGAGCUGUCUCCCUAGUCCAGUGCUUGCUUUUAAUCCCAGCAUUCAGGGGCCAGAGGCAGGUGGAUCUCCAGGAGUCCAGUGCCAGCCUGGUUUACAUAGCAAGUUCCAGACCGUCCAGGGCUGCGUAGUGGGACCUUGUCUCAGUAAAACAACAACAAAAAUAAACAACAAAAAAGAGCUUUGGGGUCAGAGCUGGGUCAUGGGUCAAAGAUCACUGUUUAACCUUGGAGGAUUCAUUCUCUGAGCCUCAGCUUCUUUCUGUGAAGAAAAGAGCAUCCUGGUCUAGAUAUUUUAGGUGUUUGCUGAGAUCACCUGGGACAAAGGGAGUGCUUCUUGGAGUUAGUGGCAGCUCUUACCUUUCUUUUAGAGAUGACCAUUUCUUUGGCUUCCUCCUAAGACCCACCUUUCCUGCUCCUUCAACCUACUAAGGAGAGACUGUCAAACCUGGCUGCUCUGGUUCCUUCAAAUCUGAUUGUAUAUAUCCUCCUGGCAGUUGGUUCCCAUCUCUCUGGCUAUGACUUCCUGGGUGUCUGAGAACUUGGAGGACAAGAGAACCACAGUGAGAAGACUGGUCCACAGAAUUCAUGGGCCUGAUUGUGAGCCUGAGAUGUCCCCACUAUGGGAUCCUAUCAAGCCCACGAGGUCUGGAAAGGUGGGCUCAGAGGGGUUUUGCGUGAGCAUUCCAGCCUCUGGGAUUUAGGCAAAGGGCAUCGAAAGUUGCACCAAGCUUUGUGUCUGAUCUCCUGUCCUUGAGGGUCUUUCAUUGAGAGAACCAGAGCUUGGCUAGGUGACUCCCAAGGAGGUUUAACCCCUUCCUGGAUGUUUCAGGAUCAGCUCCCGAGAAACUGGGGAAGACAAGCAGAUGUAGGAAGAAUUGCUCGUUGACUCGAUGGGUAUUUAUGAGAAGCUGGACAUUGCAGAGAGCACAUAGGUAUGUGCUAUCAAACAACUGAAACUCUUCCAGGAGGAAGGAAAAGACCUGAGUGUUUAAAUAAAUAAACAAGAGAGCUCAGCUUGAAGCCAGUGUUGUAAAGAUCAAGAGGCAGGCAGUGGCUCUCAACUUUGAACAUGCAGCAAAGUCACCUGGAGGGCUAGAGAAAACACAGGUGGCCCGCCCCCAUCCCCAGAGAGUCUCCCCAGUGUGUCUAGGGUGGGGCCAACAUUUGCAUUUUCAGCAAGUCCUCAGGUUGUGUAGUUGUUCCUGAUCUCUGGACCCACUUUGAGAGCCAGGAUGGCAGUGUGUAUGUUUGUGAUGCUGUGUGUGGGUGAUGAUGUGCAUUCGGGGAAGGGGUGAUGGUGUGAAUGCUGGGGACAAUGAUGCUGAGGGGUGAUGGUACGUGCAGUGGUGGUGAUAUGUAUGGGGGCGAUGGGGUGUGUGUAAUGGGAUAAUGGUGUGAGGGGCUGAUGGUGUAGGGAUGGAUGGGUGUUGGAGGUUGAUGGUGUCAGGGGAUUAUGAUAUUGGGGGGUAAUGGUAUCAGAGGCUGCUGGUGUAGGGGUGAUGUGUAUGUGCGUGUGAUGUCAAAGCGACAGAAGCUGCAUUAUUUGUAGUUCUUCUGAGGUCAAGGACAAAGAAAAGGAAGACUUCUCCCCUCUCCUUCUGCUUUUGUCAAUACUCAGAAUAGUUUUUGGAAUCUCCUUGAGCGUUGUCUUGUCUUAGGAUGCAGGUCUGGUGCUCCUUUGCAAUCGAGAAUCUUUUCAUGUCUAUUUAUUCUCCACCCCUGGAUCUUGCUUGCACUGCAGCAACCUUGAAGGGAGCUCUGGUUGUAUGUAGCCCAGACCCACCUCAGAUGUCACCCCUAUAUCUGUGCUUACAUUAAAAAUAAAAUCUGUGUACAUAAAAA